GUUUCCCAAACUUGGGUCUCCGGCUGUUUUGGGACUACAAUUCCCAUCAUCCCUGACCACUGGUUCUGCUAGCUCGGGAUGAUGGGAGUUGUAGUCCCAAAAGAGCCAGAGACCCAAGUUUGGGAAAC